AUUGAACGCUAGCGGCAUGCUUUACACAUGCAAGUCGAACGAGUGGCGGACGUGUGAGUAAUAUAUCUGACCGUGCCCGGUAGCUGGGGAUAGCUACUCGGCCGAGUUGCUAAUACCGCAUACUUUCGGAUCGGCCGGUAUAGGAUUAUCUAGUUGGUGGGGUAAAGUCUCACCAAGGCGCCGAUCCGUAGCUGGUUUGAGAGGACGACCAUCCACACUGGAACUGAGACACGGCCCAGACUCCUACGGGAGGCAGCAGUGGGGAAGUUUGGACAAUGGGGGAAACCCUGAUCCAGCCAUCCCGCGUGUAUGAGAAGGCCUUCGGGUUGUAAAGUACUUUUGGCAGGGAAGCGGUAUCUGCAGAAUAAGCACCGGCUAACUACGUGCCAGCCGCCGCGGUAAUAC
rnacentral:rRNA from 1 species